rnacentral:rRNA from 1 species
CGUGUAGGCGGCCAAACAGGUCCGUUGUGAAAACUGGAGGCUUAACCUCCAGACGUCGACGGAAACCGUGUGGCUAGAGUCCGGAAGAGGAGAGCGGAAUUCCUGGUGUAGCGGUGAAAUGCGCAGAUAUCAGGAAGAACACCAAUGGCGAAGGCAGCUCUCUGGGACGGUACUGACGCUGAGACGCGAAAGCGUGGGGAGCGAACA